rnacentral:rRNA from 1 species
AUACGGGGGGUGCAAGCGUUAAUCGGAAUUACUGGGCGUAAAGCGCGCGUAGGUGGUUUGUUAAGUUGGAUGUGAAAGCCCCGGGCUCAACCUGGGAACUGCAUCCAAAACUGGCAAGCUAGAGUACGGUAGAGGGUGGUGGAAUUUCCUGUGUAGCGGUGAAAUGCGUAGAUAUAGGAAGGAACACCAGUGGCGAAGGCGACCACCUGGACUGAUACUGACACUGAGGUGCGAAAGCGUGGGGAGCAAACAGGAUUAGAUACCCGAGUAGUCC